AAUUUGGCGAUAAGAUCAUAUUCAGAACGCUUUCUACAGGCAUGGUGAAAGCGCAAACCAACACUCUGACAACUGUUACAAUGAUGCUUAGUAACGAUCUCACACCACCUGACAUCCAGGUCUGGAUAAACAGGCAUGUUCCGCAGGACGGG
rnacentral:rRNA from 1 species